rnacentral:misc_RNA from 1 species
GAUGAAGAACGCAGCGAAAUGCGAUAAGUAAUGUGAAUUGCAGAAUUCAGUGAAUCAUCGAAUCUUUGAACGCACAUUGCGCCCCCUGGUAUUCCGGGGGGCAUGCCUGUCCGAGCGUCAUUACAACCCUCAAGCUCAGCUUGGUGUUGGGCCCCGCCGCCCCGGCGGGCCCUAAAGUCAGUGGCGGUGCCGUCCGGCUCCGAGCGUAGUAAUUCUUCUCGCUCUGGAGGUCCGGGCGUGUGCUAGCCAGCAACCCCCAAUUUUUUUCAGGUUGACCUCGGAUCAGGUAGGGAUACCCGCUGAACUUAAGCCUAUCAAUAAGCGGAGGA